rnacentral:rRNA from 1 species
ACCGGAAGGUCCGGGUAAUCUUGUUAAACUCUGUCGUGCUGGGGAUAGAGCAUUGCAAUUAUUGCUCUUCAACGAGGAAUCCCUAGUAAGCGCAAGUCAUCAGCUUGCGUUGAUUACGUCCCUGCCCUUUGUACACACCGCCCGUCGCUACUACCGAUGGAAUGGCUCAGUGAGACCUCCGGACUGGCCCAGAGAGGUGGGCAACUACCACUCAGGGCCGGAAAGUUGUUCAAACUCGGUCAUUUAGAGGAAGUAAAAGUCGUAACAAGGUCUCCGUUGGUGAACCAGCGGAGGGAUCAUUACCGAGUUAUUACUCCAAACCCUUUGUGAACCUUACCUAUGUUCUGUUGCCGCGGCGGGUAGGGAGAACCCUUAAAAAAG